UCAUGUGACCGUCCUCACAGGAAGCAGCAGUGAAGGAAUGAGUCAGAGAUUCCUCCCUCAGCACCUGCAGACUGAACCGGGAGCCUGAAACAUGCCGAGCUGCUCCAUUCUGCAACUCUGUCAGUACGAAACCAACAAGCUGGUCCGGAUCCAGUCGGUCCGGCUCGGCUCUCUGAAGUGGAGCCUGAACGCUGCCAUCCUGCUCUUCAUCUGGAUCAUGAUGUUGUGGGACAGGAAGUACCAGGCCUUCGACCUGGUCGUCAGCUCCGUCACCACCUAGGUGAAGGGCGUCGCUCAGGCUCGGCUGCCCGGCGUCGGUGAGCUCGUCUGGGACAUGGCAGACUUCAGCGGAGCCUCUCAGGAGAAAAACUCCUUCGUGAUCACCAACGUCAUCGUGACGCAGAACCAGAAGCAGGGAAAGUGUGCAGAGGUGCUGCUUCGUCUUUAGCGCUGUUUUCACAUGUUUAACCAGUCAGUUAGCUGCUCAGUGCUAAUGGACAGUUAGCAGAACUUUCUU